AUGUGUUUUGAUCUGAUUUAGAAAUGAUUCAGCAAGAGGGAUAUUUUUGAUUAAAUGGACCUUGUUGCACAGGAAAAAUCUGGACAAGUUGCUGCCUGUUUCUUCAACCUCCUCCUUCACAACAAGAUGCUGUUUCUCCAGCAAAGUACACUGCAAGGUACACACCAAGGACAUACCUCUUUCCCCCUCUGUGGAAAAGUUCUGUUUCAGUGCUGUUUCCUUGUUCACAGAUUUCUGCAUUGUUGAGAACGUUAUUCUGUAAAAACUGCACCAGACCAAACGACUCAAAGACAGAUUUUGGCAUCAUGCAUCCCAGCUUAACAUGUCUGCCAACGGGGUUAUAAUGUUCUGACUGUUUCUUGGACCACUGGCAAAUAUUUAUAUGGCACUAUAAUAUAUCAGACCUAUAUGGUGAUUGUAAAGAGGUGUCAAUAUUUGCAUAUUAAGCCACGAGGUGAUAGUUCACUUCCUGUCCCACCCCAAACCGGUAAAUGGAGAGGUCUACAAAAAUGGAGAAAUAAAACAACAAAAUUGAACCAGACACUUUAAAAACUUCAUACAGUGAUUGGUUGAGGUAGCAGAUCCAGAGGGGAGUUAAGGAUGACAUCAGUGCUACAUAAAGUGCCUGCUCUACAGCUCUAUCCCUCUCUCCAAAAACCC